UACGUAGGGUGCGAGCGUUGUCCGGAAUCACUGGGCGUAAAGGGCGCGUAGGUGGUCUGAUAAGGGUGUGGUGAAAGCCCGGGGCUCAACCCCGGGUCGGCCGUGCCGACUGUUAGACUAGAGUGCUGUAGGGGCAGGCGGAAUUCCGGGUGUAGCGGUGGAAUGCGUAGAGAUCCGGAGGAAGACCGGUGGCGAAGGCGGCCUGCUGGGCAGAUACUGACACUGAGGCGCGACAGCGUGGGGAGCAAACAGG
rnacentral:rRNA from 1 species